UACAGAGGUGGCAAGCGUUGUUCGGAAUUACUGGGCGUAAAGGGCGCGUAGGCGGCCUUCUAAGUCAGACGUGAAAUCCCCAGGCUUAACUUGGGAACUGCGUCUGAUACUGGGAGGCUUGAGUGCGGGAGAGGGAUGUGGAAUUCCAGGUGUAGCGGUGAAAUGCGUAGAUAUCUGGAGGAACACCGGUGGCGAAGGCGGCAUCCUGGACCGACACUGACGCUGAGGCGCGAAAGCCAGGGAGCAAACGGG
rnacentral:rRNA from 1 species